AUGUACCUUUUGCUGAAUCUUUUUGAGCGGGGGAACCAAUGAAAGAUAGGUCAAUGAAAUCAUCGUUUUUGGCCUUGGGGUGAAUUCUUUUUUGAGGAAGGGGCGCUCUCCAUCCCUAACCCGACAGCUAACCUCGUAAGCAUUGAUAAAGUUAGGA
rnacentral:sRNA from 1 species